UGUUACCGAAGUCCAAUAUGUCAUUAUACUUCAAUAAAGAAGUGAUCCACGUGGCAUCAUUCUAUUGAAGCGCCUUCUACCGAAGUCCAAGAUUUCAUUCUACUUCGAUAAAGAAGUGAUGCACAUGGUAUCAUUCUAUGGAAGCAUCUUCUUCUACCGAAGUCCAAGAUUUCGUUCUACUUCGAUAAAGAGGUGAUGACAUGCGGCAUCAUCUACAGAAGCGUCUUCAUCUUCCAAAGCAAAAAAAUGUCUUUCUACUUAAAGAAGUGUCAUGAGAUGUAACAUGCCUCUAUUGAUUUGUCUUCAUCUACCAAAGUACAAAAACGACCAAGAUCAAGAAUUUCGAGAAAAUAUAGCAACUUAAGGAUCAAGAUCUAACCGGUUUCUCAUUUUUUGGCACUUCCUGUUUAUAUAUGGCUGUCAGGUGGAACUGACUGGAGACACUCUCCGGUGAAGCAAAGGGAGUACCUGCAAGCAUUACAGUGCUCAAGCCAGUAAGAAUUGGAGAGACUGAAAGCUAGAAUUAGCAGUGCAUACCUUUCUCUUGGGGUUGGAUCUCUAUUUAGACAAUUAGACACGUACAGUAAUUUUGACAGCAACCCUUUAGCUUAGAGUGAAUCCAAGGAAUGGGUCUUCAUGAAGGCGAAGUCUGGAUUGAUCAUUGGUCUAGUCCAAAACAGUUGCCCCCAAGUCGGCAAUGUUGUUUAGACAAGAUGCCUACAUGAUAAUUGUGCAAUUUAUUGAAGGUCAUUAUUAUAGAACGAAGUGUCUUUCAACUACUGACGUACAAGACAUCUUUCUACUUCUAUAAAAGAAUGACACAGAGUCAAUUUAGUGAAGCAACUUCGUCGACGAAAGCUAAAGAUGUUUGUCUACUUCGAUAAAAGAAAUGCCAACACUGUCAUCGUACUGUUGGAGAGUCUUCAUUUACCGAAGUCUAAGAUGUCAUUCUACUUCGAUAAAUAAGUGAUGACACAUGUAAUCACUCUAUUGAAGCAUCUUCAUCUACAGAAGUUCAAGAAUUCAUUCUACUUCGAUAAAGAAGUGAUGACACAUGGCAUCAUCUAUUGAAGCGUCUUCGUUUACCAAAGUCAAAGAUGUUUUUCUACUUCAAUAAAGAGAUUAUGAGACGUGACUUCAUCGACCCAUGUAUGUGAUGUCAUUCUACUUUGAUAAAAGAAGAAUGACCCAUGGCUUCGCUAGAAUGGUUCCUCUUCAUUUUUUGAAACUGAUUUGAAGUUCAAAUCAAAAUUAAUUAUCGUCAUCUAUUUUUGUCUUCAGGUACGAAAACCAUCAAGACCUAGAAAUUCAAAAAAAUAUAGCAACUCCAGCAUCAAGGUCUAACUGGUUUCUCAUUUUUCUGCACCCAUGGUUAUGCAACCUAUUGACCUCAUCAGAAAUUUGUUUCUAAAUUUUUUCCUCAUAACAAACAAAGUUGUUCUUAGAGGCUUAAAGAUUAUGUCGUUUUCAUGUACUUUUCUGAAUUAUUGAAUGGCUUAAUCAGUUCUUACGAAA